UAUGGCGACCGGCGCACGGUGAGUAACACUAUCCAACCUGCCGAUGACUCGGGGAUAGCCUUUCGAAAGAAAGAUUAAUACCCGAUGGCAUAGUUCUUCCGCAUGGUAGAACUAUUAAAGAAUUUCGGUCAUCGAUGGGGAUGCGUUCCAUUAGGUUGUUGGCGGGGUAACGGCCCACCAAGCCUUCGAUGGAUAGGGGCUCUGAGAGGAAGGUCCCCCACAUUGGAACUGAGACACGGUCCAA
rnacentral:rRNA from 1 species